rnacentral:rRNA from 1 species
GACGAACGCUGGCGGCGUGCCUAAUACAUGCAAGUUGAGCGCUGAAGGUUGGUACUUGUACCAACUGGAUGAGCAGCGAACGGGUGAGUAACGCGUGGGGAAUCUGCCUUUGAGCGGGGGACAACCUUUGGAAACGAAUGCUAAUACCGCAUAAAAACUUUAAACACAAGUUUUAAGUUUGAAAGAUGCAAUUGCAUCACUCAAAGAUGAUCCCGCGUUGUAUUAGCUAGUUGGUGAGGUAAAGGCUCACCAAGGCGAUGAUACAUAGCCGACCUGAGAGGGUGAUCGGCCACAUUGGGACUGAGACACGGCCCAAACUCCUACGGGAGGCAGCAGUAGGGAAUCUUCGGCAAUGGACGAAAGUCUGACCGAGCAACGCCGCGUGAGUGAAGAAGGUUGUCGGAUCGUAAAACUCUGUUGGUAGAGAAGAACGUUGGUGAGAGUGGAAAGCUCAUCAAGUGACGGUAACUACCCAGAAAGGGACGGCUAACUACGUG